CAGCCGAGAACAAGUUGGGGGGACUAGUCUUGGGCAGCUCGGUGAGCGCGCAGUGGGGGGCGGGUGCCGGGAGCCGUGGAGGUCCCCGCCGGACCGGAGACACGACGGCCGAGCUGGCGGCAGGAGCUCGAUGGCCCGGGCGCGGGGGGAAUCCAGGCGGUGCUCCCCCGCGCAUAUCCCAGGCAGGGCCAGCGGUCGCCACCCUGCCCACGAAGGCACUUGGGCCAGAGAGGCAGGAUGGGUGGUGAGCCAUAAGCUGCCCCCCUCUAGCCUUUUACACAGCGGACUUACCCCACCUCAGUUUCAGGCUACCCAUUUCAAAAGAGUAGUCCAAGAAAAUGUGUCCCACACUUAAGGGUCACUCUGGUGACAGUGGGCAUGAUUUAUCCAGAAAAAUCCAUGGCUUCUCACCCCCUACAUGCCCUCUCUCCAAAAUUGGACUGUAUCCAACUCAAACACAUCCAGGUCCCUGGGACUCUAUGGUCUGUACCCUGAACUGCCACUCAGGACACCUGUCGCCUAGCGGAAGGGUUGGCAGCUGCCAGCCCUACUUGUUAAAGGUGAAGCUGGAUGCUGGAGCCCUGGGGAGCAAGACUAGAAUUUUAAAUAAGAGCUUUCAGCCUGGUGCAGCCAAGUCUCACAGCAACUUUAAGAGCGCCGAAGUUGUAAAGGCCCAGCAGGAGGUCACCAGCUCUCCAGUCCCACAAAGUCUUAUAAAGUACGGGUCAUCCUCGAGUCGUGCUUCUGGCCACAUGCUGAGGGGCCAGCUGGGACAGGUCCUGCAUGACCUGAGAGGAUCACUUUUACACCUCCCUGGACUGUAGAUGCCGCCUGCACGAGGCAGAAGGACUGGCCAGCAGGAGGGGGAUGGCUGAGGAUCCAAAUGGUUCCCUGGGCUUUUUCCUGCCAGGAGGGGAGCCUCAGACUACAGAGGCUUGAGUCUGCAUCCUCCCUGGGAGGGCUUGCUGGGUCUCUUCAGACCUCUUGUCUCCCUGACCCCUAAGCGUCUAGGAAAUAAAUUCCAAGCUCAGUGGAAUAUG